GUUUCUGGGGAAAAAGAAAAAAAAAAAAAAAGAAUACUUUUCAGUUUCUCUCAGUUCUUUGAGUCAUCCAAAAUGAAUUUAAAAUCUGGGGAGCAGAGGUGAACUCAUUGCCUUAGUUUUGGUGAGCUUUAAAUUGAAUGUGUGCAAUAUGGAAGGGUCCACAUUUACAAGCUGGGUGAAGACAACGUGUCCUGAUUAUGCCAGUAAGUGUUUCAGUGCUUGGUUGUUAUGGUUACAUUUUCCAACGUGACUGCACUCCUGCCUGGCGUAACUCCUUAAGGAUGGCAGCACACUUGGGCUUCUGUCUGGAUGAUGGAAAAGCAGUCGGGACAGCCAUAGGAGUAUAAGAGAGUCGGCUUUUGGAAUGUGCAGUACUCCGUGUAUUUCUAUCCGAGGAGACAUACCCUACGGUGCAGUCCUAAGUACCAGUGUUACCCAAAGAAAAACGUUUGCUUAUCUCUUAUUGGCAAACACUUAGUUUACUAAUGAGUUUGGAAUAAUUGGAAUUUCUCCCAUGUACUCUUUAAGGUCUUAACUGGGACCUCUGAUUCAUUUCUUUUAGAUAUUUCACUGGAAACACCAAAGGAAUAGUGCUCCGUAGUCUGUCUCUGGUGCUGGUGGGAGCACUCGUACCCAUGCGCGUGGGUUUUGCUGGAGCGCACUACUUUGUGUAAUUCAACUGCCAGUUAUUUGUUCAGGGUUCUUGGUUGUGGUGGUGGCUUGCUUGCUUGCUUGUUUUGACACAGGGUCUUGCUACAUAGCUUUUGCUAGCCUAGAGUUCUCUUUGUGGACCAGGCUGGCCUGGGAUUCGUGGCAAAUCUCCUGCCUCAGGAGGAGAUCUAGUGCUGUGGUUCAGGUCUAUAUCUUACUCCUAGCUUGAUACAUGCUCUUGAUUGAAUAUGCAGUUAUUGUAUAUGCAAAAAUAAGGAAGGGGACAGAGUUGAGGUCCAGUUUAAGGAAGCAGGAACUUUUACAAGUACUGGUUUCUUCUCUGUUUGGCUCUUUCAAAGUUGUUGUGUGUUUUGAGAAAGUUCAGAAGAAACUUCACACGUGAUUUCAUUUAAAAACAACAACAACAACAACAGAUGCACUGCUAGUGAGCCCGUACGUAGAAGCCCGAGCUUCUACGAGGAGCGAAGUGAAGUUUUGUCAUACUAGACUUCAUAGUUAAACAAGGUGCAUAUUUUAAAAAUUAGACUUCAUAGUUAAACAAGGUGCAUAUUUUAAAAAUCAGAAGUCAGAUGUGAUUUUAACACAUAUUUUUCUUUAAAGAUUAGUGUUUUUAUGUGCCUAGCACAUAUCAGGCCCUGAGUUAUUAAUUCCUGUCACCCUAGUACAUAUACAAAGGUUUGGUUUCUGGUUUGGGUUCUAUUAUGUUGCCCAGACCCAAGCUUAGUGGCCAUCUUACCGCUUCAGCCUUCUGAGUGGAGACAUGGGGGGGAGGGGAGGGGAUUGACAUACAUUGCCAUGCUUGGCUUAAAUACUCCUGUUGUCCAUUCUUGUAGCAUUUCUCCAGAGAUUACCGCCUGAUUCUCGCAUUAAUUUCUAAGUUAGUUCUUUGGAACGGGCAUCCACUUGGCACGCCACGCUGAUGAUCCAAACAGUCCGCUUGCUUCACUGUGUGCUUCCUGCGUGUAGCACUGGAGUCAAGGAAACCCUUGCGUUUCCAAGUCCCAUGUUUGCCUCUCCCAUUCUUAUAUAACACUUAAUGAUUAUUUUUCAAAACGUGUGCAUCCUGGCAAGUGAUUUCAGGAACAUGGUUGAAGAAUACUUCGUUGCCAUCUUGACAGGUAGCUUGUGGUUUCUUGGACUCUUGCUGUUUCCUAUGGACCAUUGAGAAAUGGCUUUUACCAUUUUGUUUGUUUAUAUAGAACUCACCUUGGUGUUUAUUCUUUUAAGGCUUGUCAGGUUUUUGUUAAUUUUCAAAGUCAUCCUUUUUAAUCAGUUUGUGUACUUAAGUGAGAAUGUUAAAGAUCUCGCUGGCCUUUUAAAGGGUUCAGAUGUGUGACCAGGCAAAAUAAUUCCAUGGACAUGAGCUGUUAUUUAAUGGCGGAGUAUAGCGUUCCUGUCAUCACGUUUUGUUUUGAUUGUUUGAAGGAGUUGUUUGUUUUACUUUUUGCAAGCUCAUUUACUGACAGAUAUUACUACUGUUCACGCUACAGCAAGAUGUGUGGAUCUUUUAAGACUUCAUACGUAUAAAAAUUAUAAUAUACCCUCUGUUAAGCUAUGACUUAACGCAGAGACUUGAUUUGUUUUGGGUUUGAUUCCGGUUUUACCUUGAACAGAAUUUUUUUUUUUCUGAGAAAAUUUGGUUU
rnacentral:lncRNA from 1 species